CCCUUAGAUGUUCUGGGCGGCCCGCGCACUACAUUGGCACUCUCAAUAAGUUCCUAGAUCUAAAACUUUGGGGUAUUCUAUUAAGUGGUGUCGUGACUGGGAUUAACCCUUGCAAUUAUUGGUUACGAACGAGGAAUUCCUUGUAAUCGCGGUUUAUCAGCCCGCGUUGAAUGCGUCCCUGCCCUUUGUACACACCGCCCGUCGCUCCUACCGAUUGAGUGGUCCGGUGAGGCUUUGGGAUCUGAGCGGAAAGAGCGUUUCGCUGUUUCUGCUCGGAAAACUCAGUCGAACCUUAUCAUUUAGAGGAAGGAGAAGUCGUAACA
rnacentral:rRNA from 1 species